rnacentral:rRNA from 1 species
UACGUAGGGAGCAAGCGUUGUUCGGAUUUACUGGGCGUAAAGGGCGCGUAGGCGGCGCGGUAAGUCACUUGUGAAAUCUCUGAGCUUAACUCAGAACGGCCAAGUGAUACUGCAGUGCUAGAGUGCAGAAGGGGCAAUCGGAAUUCUUGGUGUAGCGGUGAAAUGCGUAGAUAUUGGGAAGAACACCAGUGGCGAAGGCGGCUCACUGGCUCGUAACUGACGCUCAGGCGCGACAGCGUGGGGAUCAAACAGG